ACGGGAGGCAGCAGUGGGGAAUAUUGCACAAUGGGGGAAACCCUGAUGCAGCAACGCCGCGUGAGUGAAGAAGUAUUUCGGUAUGUAAAGCUCUAUCAGCAGGGAAGAUAAUGACGGUACCUGACUAAGAAGCUCCGGCUAAAUACGUGCAGCAGCCGCGGUAAUACGUAUGGAGCAAGCGUUAUCCGGAUUUACUGGGUGUAAAGGGUGCGUAGGUGGCAUGGUAAGUCAGAUGUGAAAUACCGGGGCUCAACCCCGGAGCUGCAUUUGAAACUGCCAGGCUGGAGUGCAGGAGAGGCAAGCGGAAUUCCUAGUGUAGCGGUGAAAUGCGUAGAUAUUAGGAGGAACACCAGUGGCGAAGGCGGCUUGCUGGACUGUUACUGACACUGAGGCACGAAAGCGUGGGGAGCAAACAGGAUUAGAUACCCUGGUA
rnacentral:rRNA from 1 species